UUUUCCGGUUGAUCCUGCCGGACCCUACUGCUAUCGGGGUGGGACUAAGACAUGCAAGUUGCGCGUCUCUAAGCCAUGGUAGAGACGCAGCGUACGGCUCAGUAACACGUGGCUAACCUCCCCUUGGGACGGGGACAACCCCGGGAAACUGGGGCUAAUACUCGGUAGGCGAGGAGGCCUGGAAUGGUUCUUCGCUGAAAAGGCGUUGAAACCACGCUUUUCAACGUCGCCCAAGGAUGGGGCCGCGACCGAUCAGGUUGUUGGUGAGGUAACGGCUCACCAAGCCUAUAACCGGUACGGGCCGUGAGAGCGGGAGCCCGGAGAUGGGCACUGAGACAAGGGCCCAGGCCCUACGGGGCGCAGCAGUCGCGAAAACUCCGCAAUGCGCGAAAGCGUGACGGGGCUACCCCGAGUGCCGUCCGAUGAGGAUGGCUUUUCCCCGGUGUAAUGAGCCGGGGGAGUAAGGAGAGGGCAAGUCUGGUGUCAGCCGCCGCGGUAAUACCAGCUCUCCGAGUGGUAGGGAUGAUUAUUGGGCCUAAAGCGUCCGUAGCCGGCUUGGCAAGUCUCCUGUCAAAUUCAGCGACCUAAUCGUUGGGCCGCGGGAGAUACUACCAGGCUAGGAGGCGGUAGAGGCCGAGGGUAUUCUCGGGGUAGGGGUGAAAUCCUAUAAUCCUGGGAGGACCACCAGUGGCGAAGGCUCUCGGCUAGAACGCGCUCGACGGUGAGGGACGAAAGCUGGGGGAGCGAACCGGAUUAGAUACCCGGGUAGUCCCAGCUGUAAACGAUGCGGGCUAGGUGUUGGGGUGGCCACGAGCCACUUCAGUGCCGCAGGGAAGCCGUUAAGCCCGCCGCCUGGGAAGUACGGCCGCAAGGCUGAAACUUAAAGGAAUUGGCGGGGGAGCACCACAAGGCGUGAAGCUUGCGGUUCAAUUGGAUUCAACGCCGGAAAUCACUAGU
rnacentral:rRNA from 1 species